AUACCUUUCUCGGCCUUUUGGCUAAGAUCAAGUGUAGUAUCUGUUCUUAUCAGUUUAAUAUCUGAUACGUGGGCCAUCGGUCCACAUGAUAUUAAAUUAAUUUCUUUAGGGGGAGAGAACAUCACGGUAGCUUGCUAUUGGGUCUCUCGCGCGUCGCCUCGGUGUUGCACUGCUGCCUUGGCCCGGCGUACCCCUC
rnacentral:snRNA from 1 species